CAAUGAAAACCCUUCUUCUUCUCCAUCUCCACCCACUCACCACCACCAACCUUCUUCUCAUCGUCUUCUCGCCGUGUCUUCAACGCCACCGCCUUAAAGCUCUUCGCGGCCCAACUUCCUCACCCCCAUUUCACCUCUCCCCCUCCACCGCAUCGUCGAGUCCUUCAUCGGUCCUCAUCGCUCCACCACUCUUCUCCGGCCACCGUCUUCUCUUAUCCCUCGCAUCUCGUUAUCUCGUCCUCAUCUCUAGGGCAUAGAGAAUUCGAGGAGCUUUCCAAAUCGCAGAGGAUUUCAUCCCGCUUUCGCAGUUUGUCUUUGAUCUCUAAUUCUUCUCGUCCAGGUAUUGCUCGAAAAGUCCGAAUGCUCGACUGGAUGCCACGACAAACCUCAUAUUGUUCUUCGAAAGCACGCCUCUGACUCGAUUAAGCUCAAUAGAUGAUACUUUUAUUUUAUCUUGCACUCUGCAUUGUUCGAUACUCUUCAUACAGUUGUUUGGGUUUUCCAUUUUGUGUUUGUUAGGAAUUAGACAUAAAUCAGAUCGAGUAGCUAUUUGCAGUAAAUAAAACAAUCUCUGUCAAGACAGAUCAGAGACAUGGAGAUCCAAAGCUAGAGGCAAAUACAUUAAUUCUUAGGAUGAUAACUAGAUGCAAUUAGGAGUUGAAGAACAACUUACGGCAAGCUGUAAAAACACCAUCAACAGUCAAUUUCAAAUUUCAUACCAGCUUUUCUCA